GAAGGUUGUCUGGCUGUUGGAAUAGCCAGUUUUUGACUCAUAGAAGGUACUUAGGCAAAUCCGGGUACGUAAUUCAAGGGGUCGAGACGAGGAACUUAGGUUCUGAAGCAAUCGGAAGUGGUUCCAAGAAAAGCCUCUAAGCUUCAGUCAUACGAGACCGUACCGCAAACCGACACAGGUGGGCGAGAUGAGUAUUCUAAGGCGCUUGAGAGAACUCGGGAGAAGGAACUCGGCAAAUUGGUACCGUAACUUCGGGAUAAGGUACGCCCUAGUAGUUUGAUUGGUUUACUCCAUGAGGAUGAACGGGUUGCAAUAAAAUGGUGGCUGCGACUGUUUAAUAAAAACACAGCACUCUGCAAACACGAAAGUGGACGUAU
rnacentral:rRNA from 1 species